CAGAGCUGGACCUGCAGCGGACGCUGAGUUUGCAGGCGCCACCUGUGAAGGAGGGGCCACUCUUCAUCCACAGGACCAAGGGCAAGGGCCCCCUCAUGUCCUCCUCCUUCAAGAAGCUCUACUUCUCCCUCACUACCGAGGCCCUCAGCUUCCCGAAGACGCCCAGCUCCAAGGGGCCUCCUGCUGCGCACUCCAAGGGGGUGCACGUUUCCAAAGAGAGAUCAAGGGACAUGGGGAAAGGAGAAAGGGCUCUGGUGGCGGCAGCGGCGGACACUUGGGGUCUGGACGCAACGGCGGCGGGAGCAUGAAAGCCCUUCCAGCCUUCGAGUCGUUCUUGCUCUUCGAGGGCGAGAAGAAACAACUCCUAAAGGACCCACAAGUGCUAUUUGCUGGCUACAAAGUCCCCCACCCCUUGGAGCACAAGAUCAUCAUCCGAGUGCAGACCACGCUGGACUACAGCCCCAGGAAGCCUUUACCAACGCCAUCACCGACCUCAUCAGUGAGCUGUCCCUGCUGGAGGAGCGCUUCCGGACGUGCCUGCUUCCCCUUCG
rnacentral:lncRNA from 1 species